GGACUGAGGGGACACGGGAGUGACACGGGAGUGACACGGGAGGGGCUGAGGGGACACGGGAGUGACACGGGAGUGACACGGGAGGGGCUGAGGGGACACGGGAGUGACACGGGAGUGACACGGGAGGGACACGGGGGGACUGAGGGGACACGGGAGUGACACGGGAGGGGCUGAGGGGACACAGGAGGGGACACGGGAGUGACACGGGAGGGGCUGAGGGGACACGGGAGUGACACGGGAGUGACACAGGAGUGACACGGGAGGGGCUGAGGGGACACGGGAGGGACACGGGGGGACUGAGGGGACACGGGAGGGGCUGAGGG